UGCACGUAAACAGCUCAGCAAGUGUACAGAGAGUUGCACAAACUAUGGAUGAAAUUCUGUUGGAACAACAAUUAAGAUGCUCUCAACAUGUUUCAAACAGGCCAACAAUAUGCUGACGUAUAUUACUCUUUAGCCAACCAGCCUCUGUUUCAUUCAGGAACGAGAGGAGGUUGCAGUGCAUCGUGAAAACCAUACAUUCCCCAUCCCAAAGGAUGUGCCAUUUGGAGUGUUCCCCUGAUCCACUGGAACCACCUGAACUCGCCCAGGCUGAAUGAACACGGCCAAUGCUUAUCCAAUACAGAAUUAAGUAAAACGCUUUGCUACAAAGAUGGGUAAAACUACCAUGCAGUGAGAUGACUUGCCUACUGCUAUGUAAGAGGUUAUUUACAACAAAAUCUUCUGACUCUCAGCUUGGCACCUUAUCUCCCUAAUUGUCCUAUCUGUGAAUACCUAGCUAACUGCACCAGCUCAAAGCAUUCUCCUGCAGAGAUUUGGAUGAGAGACUGAAGAAAAUGUUCAGCAUAUUUCCCAGUAGCUGCCUGAAGAGGUUUAUGAAGAAGAUCUCCAUGAGGUUCCCUGAGAGCAGAGACCUUUAAUCCAGCUGGCUCCCUGAAGAAAGUAUUGCCGUGCAAUGAAUAGAGAAUUUUGCCACCAGUACACUGUGAAAGAGCCUGCACAAGGAUAUCAUUGGAGUAUAACUUAAGUGAAGCUCCAUGCAUAGAGGAUCAGAGAGCCACUUUACCUUUAUUUUGGGAAUGUUGAGGAGCAGUGGCAUGUAAGUGGGAAGGAGCAAGAGAUGAAAACAAGGAAACAUGACAUUGUGCUAAUUAGCUUUCUGCUGCUUGGCAACAACUAAAUACUACCUGGGAGCAAC